AACGAACGCUGGCGGCAGGCCUAACACAUGCAAGUCGAGCGCUCUCUUCGGAGGGAGCGGCGGACGGGUGAGUAACGCGUGGGAACGUACCUUCUUCUGGGGAAUAGCCACUGGAAACGGUGAUUAAUGCCCCAUACGCCCUUCGGGGGAAAGAUUUAUCGGAGGGAGAUCGGCCCGCGUCUGAUUAGAUAGUUGGUGGGGUAACGGCCUACCAAGUCGACGAUCAGUACCUGGUUUGAGAGGAUGAUCAGGCACACUGGGACUGAGACACGGCCCAGACUCCUACGGGAGGCAGCAGUGGGGAAUCUUGGACAAUGGGCGCAAGCCUGAUCCAGCCAUGCCGCGUGAGCGAUGAAGGCCUUAGGGUUGUAAAGCUCUUUCGCCAGGGAUGAUAAUGACAGUACCUGGUAAAGAAGCCCCGGCUAACUCCG
rnacentral:rRNA from 1 species